rnacentral:misc_RNA from 1 species
GAUGAAGAACGUAGCGAAAUGCGAUAAGUAAUGUGAAUUGCAGAAUUCAGUGAAUCAUCGAAUCUUUGAACGCAUCUUGCGCUCCUUGGUAUUCUGAGGAGCAUGCCUGUUUGAGUGUCAUUAAAUUCUCAACUACACUGACUUUGAAUUUGUGUGGCUUGGAUUUGGGGGGAAAAUUGUUGUGGGCUUUUUGUAUAGUCUGCUCCCCUGAAAUUGAUUAGCGGUACCUUUGUGGAACUGUCUACAGGUGUGAUAAUUAUCUACAUCUUAGACAUCUGCUGGAAUGCUGCUUUCUAAACCUUACUUGUAUUGACAAUCUUGACCUCAAAUCAGGUAGGACUACCCGCUGAACUUAAGCAUAUCAAUAAGCGGAGGA